CAGUUGGGGUAGCAAAGAAGUGUCCAAUAAUUCUGACGAUCACUUCCUCAUUUUCAUCUGGCCUUUGGUCACGAGGCACGAUGACUUCUGCACUGGUUAAGUUCUGCAGUUCAUUCAAGGUAUUGACACCUUUGCCAAUCACCCGGCCAGCUGUGGAAGAGGGCACUCUGAUACGGGCUUCCAGCUUCACUUCUUCUUUGGGGUUAAAGAAGUUUUCUUCUUUCAGUUUCCCAAAGAUCCGUCCCUGGGCCUUGAACUGGGCUUCCGGUGGCCGGGUGAUGAUGACCAUCCUUUCGUUGACGUCUGGGCCUUCCGCAAGGGCGAUCUUGAUGGAGGCUGUGGCGAAUCUCGCCAGCUGUUUGAUGUGUGCUCCCCUCUUCCUGAUAAUGGCGCCCACAGCCUGGGUUGGGAUGAAGAGAUUCACAACCUCCUGCUCUGGAUAAGAGUGAUGAUGCGGGAACGGGCCAACCUGGUGAUGGGGGUACAAGCUGGAGAAGUAUCCGGAGAGACUUGGACACAGUUGUAGGGCUGGACAAAGAACUGAGUAAUGCCAAAGUGGAACUUGAACUCAUGGCUAACAAAGAAAGAGAAAGUCAGAUGGAACUUUCUGCUCUACAGUCCAUGAUGGCUGUGCAGGAAGAAGAGCUGCAGGUGCAGGCUGCUGAUAUGGAAAGAAG
rnacentral:lncRNA from 1 species